rnacentral:rRNA from 1 species
AACGAACGCUGGCGGCAUGCCUAACACAUGCCAGUCGAACGAGACCUUCGGGUCCAGUGGCGCACGGGUGCGUAACGCGUGGGAACCUGCCCUUAGGUUCGGAAUAACUCCCCGAAAGGGGUGCUAAUACCGGAUAAUGUCUUCGGACCAAAGAUUUAUCGCCUUUGGAUGGGCCCGCGUUGGAUUAGCUAGUUGGUAGGGUAAAAGCCUACCAAGGCGACGAUCCAUAGCUGGUCUGAGAGGAUGAUCAGCCACACUGGGACUGAGACACGGCCCAGACUCCUACGGGAGGCAGCAGUGGGGAAUAUUGGACAAUGGGCGAAAGCCUGAUCCAGCAAUGCCGGGGGAGUGAUGAAGGCCUUAGGGUUGUAAAGCUCUUUUACCCGGGAUGAUAAUGACAGUACCGGGAGAAUAAGCUCCGGCUAACUCCGUG